CCUACGGGAGGCUGCAGUGGGGAAUAUUGCACAAUGGGCGCAAGCCUGAUGCAGCGAUGCCGCGUGUGUGAAGAAGGCCUUCGGGUUGUAAAGCACUUUCAGCGGGGAGGAAGGCGUUAAGGUUAAUAACCUUGUCGAUUGACGUUACCCGCAGAAGAAGCACCGGCUAACUCCGUGCCAGCAGCCGCGGUAAUACGGAGGGUGCAAGCGUUAAUCGGAAUUACUGGGCGUAAAGCGCACGCAGGCGGUCUGUCAAGUCGGAUGUGAAAUCCCCGGGCUCAACCUGGGAACUGCAUUCGAAACUGGCAGGCUAGAGUCUUGUAGAGGGGGGUAGAAUGCCAGGUGUAGCGGUGAAAUGCGUAGAGAUCUGGAGGAAUACCGGUGGCGAAGGCGGCCCCCUGGACAAAGACUGACGCUCAGGUGCGAAAGCGUGGGGAGCAAACAGGAUUAGAUACCCUUGUAGUC
rnacentral:rRNA from 1 species